rnacentral:rRNA from 1 species
AACGAACGCUGGCGGCAUGCUUAACACAUGCAAGUCGAACGCCCCGCAAGGGGACCGGCAGGCGGGUGGGUAACGCGUGGGAACGUACCCUUAUCAUCGGGCUAGCUCCGGGAAACUGGAAUUAAUACCGAAUGGGCCCUAUGGCGGAAAGAUUUAUCGGGUAAGGAGCGGCCCGCGUUGGAUUAGCUAGUUGGUGGGGUAAAGGCCUACCAAGGCGACGAUCCAUAGAUGGGCUGAGAGACUGAACCCACACAUCGGGACUGAGCCACGGUCCAAACUAUUACGCGAGGGAGGCGUGGGUGAUACUGGACUGCGGGGGCAGGCCUGAUGCCGCCAUGGCUGGUGAGUUAUGUAGGCCUUAGGGUAGUGAUGCAGUCUCAUCGGCGAAGAUAAUGACGGUAUCCGGAGAAGAAGCCCCGGCUAACUACGUG